GCACAAUGGGCGAAAGCCUGAUGCAGCGACGCCGCGUGAGGGAUGACGGCCUUCGGGUUGUAAACCUCUUUCAGCAGGGACGAAGCGAAAGUGACGGUACCUGCAGAAGAAGCACCGGCCAACUACGUGCCAGCAGCCGCGGUAAUACGUAGGGUGCAAGCGUUGUCCGGAAUUACUGGGCGUAAAGAGCUCGUAGGCGGUUUGUCGCGUCGUCUGUGAAAACUCGAGGCUCAACCUCGAGCUUGCAGGCGAUACGGGCAGACUUGAGUACUGCAGGGGAGACUGGAAUUCCUGGUGUAGCGGUGAAAUGCGCAGAUAUCAGGAGGAACACCGGUGGCGAAGGCGGGUCUCUGGGCAGUAACUGACGCUGAGGAGCGAAAGCGUGGGUAGCGAACAGGAUUAGAUACCCUGGUAGUCCACGCCGUAAACGGUGGGCGCUAGGUGUGGGUUUCCUUCCACGGGAUCCGUGCCGUAGCUAACGCAUUAAGCGCCCCGCCUGGGGAGUACGGCCGCAAGGCUAAAACUCAAAGGAAUUGACGGGGGCCCGCACAAGCGGCGGAGCAUGUGGAUUAAUUCGAUGCAACG
rnacentral:rRNA from 1 species